rnacentral:lncRNA from 9 species
GGUGUUAUAAGAGAGAUUUCAAAAAUGAGGGACACUCUACUCUGUCAGAUGCUUAGAGUAUAUGUUUUGUGAAUACUUGUGUGACCAAUCUGUUUUAUGCCAGUUUCUGAUACAGUCAAUGUAGUACAAAUAGAGACACUGCCUUUGGAGUAGUAAUCUAUAGUAUACCAAAUAAUGAGGCUAUUCUUUCUCUUUUAUUAUCCUUUAGGUAUAACUUUAUUUUUUAAAAAUUUCAUUAUUGGAUUUAUUCAUUCACUUAACCAAUAAUUUUUGAAUGCUUCCAAUCUGCCAAAUAGUGCUAACUAGAUGUAGUGUCCAUUUAUAAUAAAAAUGGUGCAUUUUUGAAAGGACUGUACAUUUCCUAUAGCUACUAUAAUUAAAUUGUUCUCCCUGACCUCAUUGCUAAGAAUUUAGAAAGGCAUUUAUAAAUUGAUACCACCUUUCUGUAGGACAGCUUAACUGUAGGUAUCAAAAACAUUUAAAGUGCAUAACACUAAUGGCUAUUUACUUCAGCAAGUAGUGAGGUAUUGGCUCAGUUGCUGGUAUUCUUACUUUGACUAUUUUGUAUUGUUAAAAAAGCCCUGUAAAGCAAAAUGUUGUGGCAAUAUUGUAUAUGUCUUUUUCAGUAAAACAAAUUUAUACAGAUAUUAUUGGAUUGCAAAAUAACUGCUGGUAUAUCAUGGGGGAAAUAUAUUGUGCAAAUAAUAUAUUCCAUCUCAGUUUCCUUUUUCAAACUUACUACCUUAAUAUGCAACUGUUAUCUCUAAAUCAAAUAACCUUGGUCAAUAGAGGCCUGCUUUUAUAAGUACUGGUAAAGAAAUGCCUUUUUUUACAAAAAUUAUUCUUUCUAGUUUAUGUUCAUUUAGUACAAAAAUGAACAGCAACAAUAAUCUACUUGUGGUACUAAUUCUUAGGGAUUAUAACAAAUAGUAUUAAAAAUAACUGAAUUAGUUUACACAGGCUUCUUCUUAUUCCUGUUCAUGAAUGAAUACUAAUUAGAGUAUAAAUAUGUCUAGUGUUAGCAAUGUUACUGGCCACAUUCUAUAUUAGUGAAAUGGUAAUAAUAAACUUUUUAUCAUGAAUGAUGAAAGACAAUAUUUUUGCCUGUUUGUUAUGUACUUUAUAUUACUGCUUAAAGUUAAAACACUUUCCUAGAGUUUCAUUUAUUGAAUAGAGUAUAUUCUAUUUUAGUCCCCUUAACUUUUUUCAUGGAAAAUCCAAAAUGAUUUCUAAAAGGGUAUAAAGUUUUAAGUUUAAAGAAGAGAAGGGUAUACUGCACAUGAUGUUGAUCUGUUCAGCACAAAAAGGUCAAGAAGCUAAAUGAAUAUGCCUUCAAGUAUACAAGUGAAAAAUGGAUCUUAUGAGCAAGAGAGACACUGAGAUAUUAAAUUUGAAAUAGGUAUCAUUUAAGAACCUCAGCUGCAACACACCAUUUUUAAAUUACAUUUCCCAUAUGGUCUUUUGGUAAUAUUUAUGCUUUUUAGUUAUGUAGGUAGUAAGUUGAUAUAUAUACAGAAGGAAUGUAUAUUAUUUUAAAUAGACCUUAUUUUAGAAAAUAUACAAAAUGAGGUAUUGUUACAGUCAUUACCAAGUAUAAAGGAACAAAAAAAUUGUGUAAGUAGAGGAAAUAAUAUAACCCUUAAAUGUGAAAUGUUUUAAUAUUAUUUCUGAGUUUUUUUAAGAUUGAUGUUUUCAGUGAGUGGUGUUUAAAUUUGACAUUAUUUUUUAAUGGUACAGGCAUCGAAUUGAGAGACAUUGACUACAAUCUCCUUUAGAUUUAGAAAUAUAGAACUAUGGUUUCUUAAACUUUGUUUCUACCUUCUCCAGUGGAAUAUCCUCAAUGUAUAGUGACUCUACUUGUCCUUCUUAAAGGAUAAAGAAAACCUGGUAAGUUCCCUUGUAGAGCAGUAGGUUAAGAAUAUGGCAUUGCUUAGCUGUGCAUAGGCCACAACUGGGUUUGAUCCCUGGCCCUGGGAACUCCCACAUGCUGUGGGUAUAGGUAAAUAAAUAAAUAAAUAUUAAUUGAGAAUUGGGUAUAUUUGAUGUAUCAUGAAAUUAUGGAAUACCUUAUUUGUAUGUUUUUGUCUUUUUUGUUAAUGAAGAACAGGCUUAUUCUGAUAGUUUAAUGUCUUUUUCAAUAUUGAAUCUAUUUUCAGAAAAUUCUAUAAGUGGAUGUUCCAUCAGAAUGUUUAAAAUAUUGGUUUUUUAUUACCACUUUUUUGAGCUUGCAAAACAAUCAUCAUAAGUUUUUUUAAUAAAAAUGAAAAUUCAAGUAAAUUCUGCUAAUGCCAUAUUUUGUUAGAACUUAGUAAAAAGAGCAUUUAUUUCUUAUAAAUAACCUAGAAUGCUGAUGUCUCUUCUGCCAUUUUUUUCUGUUAUAAAAGCCAAAAAAAUGCAAAAAUAUAUUAGGAAAAAUACCCCAAGACAUAGCUGCAGAGUUAAAUACAUCAGAUACUUUCUACUUUGGCAAUGUAAACAGUAGAUGAUCUGUAAUUUUGGAUAGCCACUUGAUAUUUACCAGCGAAGCAGCUGACAAACCCUUUUGCAGUAAUUUUAAGGAGACUGUAACACUAAAAUGAAUUUAUCCAAACUACUAGUAUGACAACAUGCUGAUUUUACUGUGGAUAUGGGAAAAAUCAUCACAAUUUCUAAUAUCUGAGAUGCGUGUGUUUAAGUACCUCAGUGUUUAGACAGUUAAUAAAUUCAUCUUCCAAAACACUGCCACAUGGGCAAACCUUAGAGUACUAUCUUUUGAAGAUAGAUGUAUUCAUGCCGUGCUGUUGCAUGAAGUUAUACUUUGCUAACCACAUUCAUGUUAUUACAGCCCAGGGGAUGGGGGGACAAGCCCAGCAUGACAAAGUGUGUUAUCUUUCUAAAACGUGCAUCUCUGAGAUUCUGAAGAAUUUAAGGCAGUCUUUGCUUACCCUCCUUCCCAGCUUUUCUUUUUUUUAUUUUUAUUUUUUUAUUAUUAAAGUAUAGUUGAUUUACAAUGUUUCAUCAAGUUCUGUUGUACAACUAAGUGAUUCAAUCACAUACAUUUCCCUGUGCUGUACAGUAGAGUCCCAAUGCCCAUCCAUUCCAAAUAUAACAGUUUACACCUAAAAAAAAAAAAAAAAAAAAAAAA